rnacentral:tRNA from 1 species
GAGGGUAGAGCUAAGUGGUAGAGCACAUGCUUAGCAUGCAUGAGGUCCUGGGUUCAAUCCCCAGUACCUCCA